GCGGGAGCCCGGCCACCGCCCCCGACGCCACCAGCGCCGGUUCUGCAGCUGGGAGGAGUUGCGGCCGCGAUGCUGGUGGCGGCGGCCGCGGAGCGAAACAAGGAGCCCAUCCUGCACGUGCUACGGCAGUACCUGGACCCGACCCAGCGCGGCGUCCGCGUACUCGAGGUGGCCUCGGGCUCCGGCCAGCACGCGGCGCACUUCGCGCGGGCCUUCCCCCUGGCCGAGUGGCAGCCGUCGGACGUGGACCAGCGCUGCCUGGACAGCAUCGCGGCCACCACGCAAGCCCACGGUCUGACCAACGUGAAGGCCCCGCUGCACCUGGACGUGACGUGGGGCUGGGAGCACUGGGGCGGGAUCCUGCCGCAGUCGCUGGACCUGUUGCUGUGCAUCAACAUGACCCACAUCAGUCCCCUGUGCUGCACGGAGGGGCUCUUCAGAGCAGCAGGACACCUGCUCAAACCCAGAGCCCUGCUCAUCACCUACGGGGGAGGGGGUGCCCGUUUCAUUCUCCGGACCCCAGCCUGCAAGUCUGUCCCGGGCUCUCUGGGAAACAGCCGACCUUGGUCCAGUGGGCUGUGUCCCCGUCCCCGCAGCCCUAUGCCGUCAACGGGAAGAUCUCUCCCCAGAGCAACGUGGACUUCGACCUAAUGCUCAGAUGCAGGAACCCGGAAUGGGGCCUUCGGGACACAGCCCUCCUGGAGGACCUGGGACAGGCCAGUGGCCUGCUCCUGGAGAGGAUGGUGGACAUGCCAGCCAACAACAAGUGCCUGAUCUUCCGGAAGAACUGAGCCCCUCCUUCACCCCGCACACCUGCAUCCCUGCCGGAGGCCCUGUGGGGCACAAACCCUGCCUCCCUAGGCUGGGCCUUGUGGGUAACAGCCCCACCCAGUCUGCGCUCUCAGCCAGUGGCUGAAAGGCUCAGCCUGCUCAGAAUAAAGCAUCUCCUGCUGCCGGC